rnacentral:tRNA from 1 species
GCCUUCGUGGUGUAAUGGUAAGCAAACUGAGCCGGUAUUUCAGAGGUCCGUGGUUCGAUUCCCGGCGAAGGCA